CUAAUACAUGCAAGUCGAGCGAAUGGAUUGAGAGCUUGCUCUCAAGAAGUUAGCGGCGGACGGGUGAGUAACACGUGGGUAACCUGCCCAUAAGACUGGGAUAACUCCGGGAAACCGGGGCUAAUACCGGAUAACAUUUUGAACCGCAUGGUUCGAAAUUGAAAGGCGGCUUCGGCUGUCACUUAUGGAUGGACCCGCGUCGCAUUAGCUAGUUGGUGAGGUAACGGCUCACCAAGGCAACGAUGCGUAGCCGACCUGAGAGGGUGAUCGGCCACACUGGGACUGAGACACGGCCCAGACUCCUACGGGAGGCAGCAGUAGGGAAUCUUCCGCAAUGGACGAAAGUCUGACGGAGCAACGCCGCGUGAGUGAUGAAGGCUUUCGGGUCGUAAAACUCUGUUGUUAGGGAAGAACAAGUGCUAGUUGAAUAAGCUGGCACCUUGACGGUACCUAACCAGAAAGCCACGGCUAACUACGUGCCAGCAGCCGCGGUAAUACGUAGGUGGCAAGCGUUAUCCGGAAUUAUUGGGCGUAAAGCGCGCGCAGGUGGUUUCUUAAGUCUGAUGUGAAAGCCCACGGCUCAACCGUGGAGGGUCAUUGGAAACUGGGAGACUUGAGUGCAGAAGAGGAAAGUGGAAUUCCAUGUGUAGCGGUGAAAUGCGUAGAGAUAUGGAGGAACACCAGUGGCGAAGGCGACUUUCUGGUCUGUAACUGACACUGAG
rnacentral:rRNA from 1 species